UUUGGACAAUGUAACGGUGUUAACUAGUGUUCCAGCUCUUUUGGAGGAUGUUAGUGAAGUGGUGGUUCCUGCACCUCGACUGAACAACUCCGUAAUUCUUCUCGAUCUUGAGGCUCACCUUUCUUAUUUACCUCAAGUUGAAAGGUCUGCCCUUGUAGAGCUAAUUAGCUCUUAUGUACCCCUGUUUCCAGAUGUGCCUAGCCAAACUAAACUUGUUGUCCAUGAUAUUGAUGUUUCAGGUGCUGCUCCAGUGAAACAACAUCCGUAUCGGGUUAGUCCUGAGAAGCGUGCACUUUUGAGGAAAGAAGUGGACUACAUGAUUGAACAUGAUUGGAUGACUGCAUUGACUGUGUAGGACCUGCCAGGUACGUAACCAAGUUAGAUCUUUUGAAAGGUUACUGGCAGGUUCCUCUUUCUGACAGAGCCAAAGAGAUCUCAGCCUUCGUGACCCCAGAUGGGUUAUGGGAAUAUCAGGUUAUGGCUUUUGGGAUGCAAAAUGCUGCGUCUACCUUUCAGAGGUGUUACAGCCCUGCCCUUUUCUUUCAUUUGUGUUUUUGUUGUGAGCUUGCAGGAACAGAGGCUCCUCCCUGAUGGGUGGGACUCUAGAGCUGAUCAUGGGCCACACCUGUGACACACUAUUUAAGAGGCUCAUGGAUUCUGGCUCGCUCUCUCAUUUUUAUUUUGUGUUCUUGUUUGAAGAGUGGGUUCUUGAGAUUGUGUGUUCCCAUAUUUUUCCACAAGCUCCACAAACCCCAUUUCCAACAGUUAUUUGAUUUGUUGUUGUUGUUUUUUUAGAUUAUUCUUUAUU